rnacentral:lncRNA from 1 species
GCAGUGUUAUAUUGGCAGAUCCGUAGCAUCACCACCUUGAAUAGGAAGCUAGAUCUACCUUCCCGAUAACGGCGCCUUAUUACCGUUAGGGUAGGGUUCCAGUUCUUAAUCAUGGUAGUGGCACUAGGAUUGCCAUGUUAGUAUUCCUUAACAAGUCACUAGCUCGGCGCAUGUCUAGCAACAGUGUUAAGUAUAUACCGGGGUGAUAGUUCCUUAGGUUUGGAGUUUAAGUACCGCAAGCGGACGGGAAUUAUCGUGUAGCAUUUCAACCCGGGGAUUUACCGAGUGUCGUAUUUAUAGGUUCGCUCUAAGGAAGGCUUAAUAUGUUAAGGAUUCUAAGAUAAGCAUAGAUCAAAGUAAUUAUAAUAGCAAUAAUGGAAUCAAAAGUCAUAGCAGGUGAUAAACAUUUAUAUGUAGAAUAGUGAUCCAUCAUAAUCUAGGCAUGGCAUAUGGCUAAGGAAUAAAAAGAGACUAAAAGAAUGAAUUGAAUCAAAGAAUAAACAAACAACCUAUUGGAGCAGGUGUGGUCCUAGAUACAGAUCAUGUCAUAGAACAAGUUAAUCAUGUAACUAUACUACUUAGAUCUAGUCCUGUGUUU